AUCGCUACAGUGAAUAGUGAAAAUUUGCUGACUGGUUACUUCUAGUGUUUGGUUUGAUGUCAUUUCAUUUCCUGGUGUGACGGUGCGGAGCUAAUCGCUGCAUUUUAGUGACCCCCGAACAGACAACCAAUCAGGAAAGAGGCAGGACAACAUGCAGUCAGGAAACACACAAGGUUCCUCACAAGAACAGGCAACAGCGUCAUUUAUUUUUUCCACACCUGAUCCUGCAGCUGGUUUCGCAAAGGAUGCAUGUUCAGUCUUUAUUACAAGUUUGAAAACACCCCCCCAGCUCAUCCUCAUCCAGAAGCUUCUCUUCGAAUUGUUUCCAGCUCUGACAAGAUCUCUUCCUUCCCCCAGCAUGCUGCCAAUGGCUGGGUACUGGUAUGAUAUUUAUAAACGUUAAACCCAUUGUAAAAAAAUAAUUUUUAGGAUGUUUUACCAGAGAGGAAAUGCUUAAGAAUGUCAGGGUAGAGAAGGAAAUUUCUGCUUGCUUACUUUUAAUUGAGUCAUUUUCAAAAGUAAAACCAGACGCAUCAAGCAUGGUGUAUUUUUGGAUCCUCCUGAACACAAACGUAAGUAACCGAUUCUGUCCAAGAGCUUUGCAUGUACUGCUUUGAUUAUGUAGUUAUGAGAAUCCAUUGUACCUAGAACACACACACACACACACCUCCCACACACUUCAAGGGCUGCGUACUUCUGAGAGCUGUAGUUCAAUAAACUUCUUAUUAAUUUCUCCUUCCUCUUCCCACUUGGUGAGUGAUCGUUGACCUGGACAAGGUGAGUCAACACACCGACAAAAUGCAGUGUGAGAAGCUCAAGUCGGCUCCGAAGGAAUUAAAGGGUCUUCUGCUCGUGACACGGAGCUGAUGUGACUGAAUAUCUUAAAACUUCUGUUGGUGAAACAGCAGGCGAUUUGAUGCUUAAAAGAUCAUUUCUGUAAGCCGAAGUCUCAGGUCCUGCGUGGAUCUCCGACUCACCACAGCAGGAAUAUCCUGCUGUAUAAA